GAUGAACGCUGGCUACAGGCUUAACACAUGCAAGUCGAGGGGAAACGACGGGGAAGCUUGCUUCCCCGGGCGUCGACCGGCGCACGGGUGAGUAACGCGUAUCCAACCUGCCUCUGACUGAGGGAUAACCCGUCGAAAGUCGGCCUAAUACCUCAUGGCAUCGUCUGCGGGCAUCCAACGACGAUUAAAGAUUUCAUCGGUCAGAGAUGGGGAUGCGUCUGAUUAGCUUGUUGGCGGGGUAACGGCCCACCAAGGCGACGAUCAGUAGGGGUUCUGAGAGGAAGGUCCCCCACAUUGGAACUGAGCCACGGCCCAAACUCCUACGGGAGGCAGCAGUGAGGAAUAUGGGUCAAGGGGCGAGAGCCUGAACCAGCCAAGUAGCGUGCAGGAGGACGGCCCUAUGGGUGGUAAACUGCUUUUAGGCGGGGAUAAAGUGAGGGACGUGUCCUUCAUUGCAGGUACCGAAUGAAUAAGGACCGGCUAAUUCCGUG
rnacentral:rRNA from 1 species